rnacentral:rRNA from 1 species
UACAGAGGGGGCAAGCGUUGUUCGGAAUUACUGGGCGUAAAGGGCGCGUAGGCGGCCUUCUAAGUCGAACGUGAAAUCCCCGGGCUCAACCCGGGAACUGCGUCCGAUACUGGAAGGCUUGAAUCCGGGAGAGGGAUGCGGAAUUCCAGGUGUAGCGGUGAAAUGCGUAGAUAUCAAGAGGAAUACCAGAGGUGAAGACGGGUUGCUAGGCUGACACUGACGCUGAGGCGCGAAAGCCAGGGGAGCAAACGGG